CCACAUCCCCUUUUCUUCACAAUCAGAAAACCUUAUUUUUGAUUUUUAUCAUCGCAAUCGGAAAUCCCUAACUUUCUCUCUCGAAAAUCAAAAGGUAUGAACCUAAUUCUUUCAGUUUCAUACUUGUCACCACUAUCAUUCCAUAGUAACAUAAACCAUUAGUGAAGAGUAAAAGAAAUCAUUGUGAAAUUAUCGAUUUGGGUUUGAUGUUGAAGUUGUCUCUGACAAGGGCAUCAGAUCCAGCUCAUAU